AGAUCCUUUUCCAGGCGCUGCAGGAUGAGGAUCCAAGGCAAGAGCCGCUCUUUUCCAAGGAUUUGGGAUUUCCAAGCUGUUCCCAUCGGCUGGAGCAGAACUCGGGACAGGAUGGAGAUAAAGCCUCAGCUGUGAGCAUGGAAGAAUUCCAGGAAUAUGGAUCGAACCAGGAAGAAUUGUGUUGGGAAUGGGAUGGGAGAAGCUGGAUCCAGCUCCGGGUAUCCCCAGAAGUGGCUCCUGGGCCGAAUCUUUGGGAAUUUUUCAUGGAAUUUCUUCUCCUGGUGCCGUUGAAAACCGUUGGAAAAGGACUUUUCUCCUGGAAUAAAAAUUUGCUGGGACAAGCUGGGAUUUCAAAGGAAUUUCCGGGAGUGCAAAGCUGCUUUUUCCUUUGGUUUUUUCCAAGGAAAAAAAAUGCGGAUUUUGAUUGUUUGAAGGUGCAGAAAAUUCCUUUUUCUUCUAUUACCGAGGGAAUUUCUUCCCAGUUCCAAGCCAGAAUUCCCUGUUUAAAGCUGCUCCUGUCGUUGUUUGUAUUCCAAGAGUUUGGGAAUUAAAAAAAAAAAUUUGGGAAUUGUAAUGUUGGGAAUAAAUCUGAAGGGUUAUUUUUCCACGGUGCAAUUUUCCUUCUGUGAUUUUUAAUUCCUGGGGUGUUUCUUCCUGCUUUGUUUUUAUAGGAAUUCUGAAUUUGUGGGGUUGGUUUUUAAUGGGAAUGGUUGGGAUUUUUUCCUGGUUUGUUUUUAUCAGGAAUUUGGAAUUUAUGGGAUUGUUUUUUUGCGGGAAUUUUGAGGGUUUUUUUUCUUGUUUUUAACAGGAAUUUGUAAUGGAAUUCCUGGGAUUUUUCCUUGUUUAUUUUUAAGAGGAAUUCUGAGUUUGUGGGAUUUGUUUUUGCCGGGAAUUUUUAAUGGAAUUCCUGGGAUUUUUCCUUGUUUCUUUCACCGCUAAUUUUGAAAUUAUUUGGAUGUGUUUUUUAAGGGGAAUUUUCAAUGGAAUUUGUCCAGUCCAUUUUUACCAGGAAUUCUGAAUUUAUGUUGUUUUUUUUUUUUUUUCCCUUGUUAAUUUUUAACAGGAAUUUGUGGAGUUUUUCCCUCGUUAAUUUUUACCAGGAAUUUUCCAUUUGUGGGAUUUUUCCUUGUUUAUUUUUAAGAGGAAUUUUGAAUCGAUGGGAUUGGUUUUUUAGCAGGAAUUUGUGAUGGAAUUUGUGGAAUUUUUCCUUGUUUAUUUUUAAGAGGAAUUUUGAAUUUGUGGGGUUGUUUUUGGUUUUUUUCCCAAGGAAUUUGAGGGUUUCCCCCCCUUGGCUGUUUGAACGGGAAUUUUGAAUUGGUGGGAUUUAUUUUUCCCAGGAAUUUCUGGGAUUUUCCCUUGUUUAUUUUUCCCAGGAAUUUCUGGGAUUUUCCCUUGUUUAUUUCCCACAGGAAAUUGCAACUUUUCCCUUUCUUUUCCCAGGAUUCCCUCCCAAAUUCCACAGGAAAAAAUUCCCAAAAUCCCCCAAAUCCCCACCCUCAGCUUUCCCAGCUGGGGAACUUUGGGAUCAAACAAAUCCCUGGGAUCCAGGAAUUCCAUGGAAGACACCCUUGGGAUGCCACGGGAAUUCCCAAGUUGUGGUCUAACCCCUUAAAGUUGGAAUUUUUGCAGCGUUCCGGGGGAAAAAAUUGGGAAAAUCUGAUUUAAAAAAUUGAGGAAAAGCUGAUUCGAAGGUAAAAAACGAGGAGAAAAAUUCCAGGAUAGCUCCAAAAUUCCCUAAACUGGAUUUUUUUUUUUUUUUUUAAAUUAAAUUAGCUUUUUCCUGAGAAAAUGUAUGGAAUAAUUGGAGUAUUCCUGAUUUUUCUGAUGGAAUUUUCCAAUAUUUUCCUGCUUUACUGGCCUGGAUUAAUUUGGUAAAAUCCCCCGAAAAUUCAGGAUGAGUUAAAAAUCCAAGGAAUUCUGGGACAAAGCUUCAGAAUUUGGGGAGAAUGGGUGGAAAACAUGGAAAAACGGAAUAAAUUUUGAAGUAGAA